rnacentral:rRNA from 1 species
AGCGUACACGGUGGAUGCCCUGGCAGUCAGAGGCGAUGAAGGACGUGCUAAUCUGCGAUAAGCGUCGGUAAGGUGAUAUGAACCGUUAUAACCGGCGAUUUCCGAAUGGGGAAACCCAGUGUGUUUCGACACACUAUCAUUAACUGAAUCCAUAGGUUAAUGAGGCGAACCGGGGGAACUGAAACAUCUAAGUACCCCGAGGAAAAGAAAUCAACCGAGAUUCCCCCAGUAGCGGCGAGCGAACGGGGAGCAGCCCAGAGCCUGAAUCAGUGUGUGUGUUAGUGGAAGCGUCUGGAAAGGCGCGCGAUACAGGGUGACAGCCCCGUACACAAAAAUGCACAUGCUGUGAGCUCGAUGAGUAGGGCGGGACACGUGGUAUCCUGUCUGAAUAUGGGGGGACCAUCCUCCAAGGCUAAAUACUCCUGACUGACCGAUAGUGAACCAGUACCGUGAGGGAAAGGCGAAAAGAACCCCGGCGAGGGGAGUGAAAAAGAACCUGAAACCGUGUACGUACAAGCAGUGGGAGCACGCUUAGGCGUGUGACUGCGUACCUUUUGUAUAAUGGGUCAGCGACUUAUAUUCUGUAGCAAGGUUAACCGAAUAGGGGAGCCGAAGGGAAACCGAGUCUUAACUGGGCGUUAAGUUGCAGGGUAUAGACCCGAAACCCGGUGAUCUAGCCAUGGGCAGGUUGAAGGUUGGGUAACACUAACUGGAGGACCGAACCGACUAAUGUUGAAAAAUUAGCGGAUGACUUGUGGCUGGGGGUGAAAGGCCAAUCAAACCGGGAGAUAGCUGGUUCUCCCCGAAAGCUAUUUAGGUAGCGCCUCGUGAAUUCAUCUCCGGGGGUAGAGCACUGUUUCGGCAAGGGGGUCAUCCCGACUUACCAACCCGAUGCAAACUGCGAAUACCGGAGAAUGUUAUCACGGGAGACACACGGCGGGUGCUAACGUCCGUCGUGAAGAGGGAAACAACCCAGACCGCCAGCUAAGGUCCCAAAGUCAUGGUUAAGUGGGAAACGAUGUGGGAAGGCCCAGACAGCCAGGAUGUUGGCUUAGAAGCAGCCAUCAUUUAAAGAAAGCGUAAUAGCUCACUGGUCGAGUCGGCCUGCGCGGAAGAUGUAACGGGGCUAAACCAUGCACCGAAGCUGCGGCAGCGACGCUUAUGCGUUGUUGGGUAGGGGAGCGUUCUGUAAGCCUGUGAAGGUGUGCUGUGAGGCAUGCUGGAGGUAUCAGAAGUGCGAAUGCUGACAUAAGUAACGAUAAAGCGGGUGAAAAGCCCGCUCGCCGGAAGACCAAGGGUUCCUGUCCAACGUUAAUCGGGGCAGGGUGAGUCGACCCCUAAGGCGAGGCCGAAAGGCGUAGUCGAUGGGAAACAGGUUAAUAUUCCUGUACUUGGUGUUACUGCGAAGGGGGGACGGAGAAGGCUAUGUUGGCCGGGCGACGGUUGUCCCGGUUUAAGCGUGUAGGCUGGUUUUCCAGGCAAAUCCGGAAAAUCAAGGCUGAGGCGUGAUGACGAGGCACUACGGUGCUGAAGCAACAAAUGCCCUGCUUCCAGGAAAAGCCUCUAAGCAUCAGGUAACAUCAAAUCGUACCCCAAACCGACACAGGUGGUCAGGUAGAGAAUACCAAGGCGCUUGAGAGAACUCGGGUGAAGGAACUAGGCAAAAUGGUGCCGUAACUUCGGGAGAAGGCACGCUGAUAUGUAGGUGAAGUCCCUUGCGGAUGGAGCUGAAAUCAGUCGAAGAUACCAGCUGGCUGCAACUGUUUAUUAAAAACACAGCACUGUGCAAACACGAAAGUGGACGUAUACGGUGUGACGCCUGCCCGGUGCCGGAAGGUUAAUUGAUGGGGUUAGCGGUAACGCGAAGCUCUUGAUCGAAGCCCCGGUAAACGGCGGCCGUAACUAUAACGGUCCUAAGGUAGCGAAAUUCCUUGUCGGGUAAGUUCCGACCUGCACGAAUGGCGUAAUGAUGGCCAGGCUGUCUCCACCCGAGACUCAGUGAAAUUGAACUCGCUGUGAAGAUGCAGUGUACCCGCGGCAAGACGGAAAGACCCCGUGAACCUUUACUAUAGCUUGACACUGAACAUUGAGCCUUGAUGUGUAGGAUAGGUGGGAGGCUUUGAAGUGUGGACGCCAGUCUGCAUGGAGCCGACCUUGAAAUACCACCCUUUAAUGUUUGAUGUUCUAACGUUGACCCGUAAUCCGGGUUGCGGACAGUGUCUGGUGGGUAGUUUGACUGGGGCGGUCUCCUCCUAAAGAGUAACGGAGGAGCACGAAGGUUGGCUAAUCCUGGUCGGACAUCAGGAGGUUAGUGCAAUGGCAUAAGCCAGCUUGACUGCGAGCGUGACGGCGCGAGCAGGUGCGAAAGCAGGUCAUAGUGAUCCGGUGGUUCUGAAUGGAAGGGCCAUCGCUCAACGGAUAAAAGGUACUCCGGGGAUAACAGGCUGAUACCGCCCAAGAGUUCAUAUCGACGGCGGUGUUUGGCACCUCGAUGUCGGCUCAUCACAUCCUGGGGCUGAAGUAGGUCCCAAGGGUAUGGCUGUUCGCCAUUUAAAGUGGUACGCGAGCUGGGUUUAGAACGUCGUGAGACAGUUCGGUCCCUAUCUGCCGUGGGCGCUGGAGAAUUGAGGGGGGCUGCUCCUAGUACGAGAGGACCGGAGUGGACGCAUCACUGGUGUUCGGGUUGUCAUGCCAAUGGCACUGCCCGGUAGCUAAAUGCGGAAGAGAUAAGUGCUGAAAGCAUCUAAGCACGAAACUUGCCCCGAGAUGAGUUCUCCCUGACUCCUUGA